UAAAAAAAAAAACACUGCUCUGCACAUGACACUCCGCUGCUCGGCAAUUCCCGGGUCAAACAGCUGCCGGCGUUCAAGGCCUUCCCCGAUUUGGCCUCACCCAGUAAAAUAGAAAACACAAGGGCCGCCUCCUGGGCACACCUUCAGUUCGCAAGUGCCAGAAACCCCCCGCAGCCAGUCUCAGCAGAAAGGAUCGUGCUCUGCCCGGACGUCGAAGACACCGAGCAGGCGGGGCACACCGCGAAGCCAGCUCCCUUUUAGCUUUCUGCUAGCGGUUCCGGUCACAUGACCGCGCGGACCAAUCACCGCUGGAGGCGGGGCGGGGCGAUUGGCCAGGCUGCGUCAUGUGACCGCGCCAGGCGGGGCAGAGCCUGUCGGGGAGGCCGGAAGGCAGCGGCGAGUGGGCCGAAGUUGGCUGCACCUUGGCCCAUCAACUGAGGUCCAGCAGUGCGUCUGACAGCUACCAUCGUGGUGAAGCCGCAAAGAGCAGAAGCCGUAUCUUAAGAAUGUCCCCAGAGCUCAUCUAGAUUCGAUGUCCCCGCUCUUCUGUUUUACCGCCCACUCCGUCCUGGACCAGCUGCAGCGUUCUGAAUCGGUGCCGUAACCAGAUGCCCAAACUGUGGCCUCCGUGGGGCCAAAGGCCAGCCUUCUCAAAGACUCAGCAGUGGCUGUGCCACCGCCGUCGUCAGUCUUAUCCCUGCAGCCCCCAAACACCCUCUGUGUGCCGGUGUGCUGAUGACCGCCUUUGCAGAACUCCAGUCCAAGAGCUCCGGACCCUACCCACCUUCCUAAAUGAUGUUCGUCUUGCGUACUGAAGCGGCAUCUCCAACUUGCAGAAAUACUGAUUACAGAAAUACUGCUAAAACUCUCCUUCAGCCUGCCCGGCCCCGACUUCCUUCACGGGUCACCCGUGGCUCCGACAACAGAGCUCCGCUUCUGCCCGCGCAUGCAAUUCGUGUCUGCUCCCUCUCUUACCUCCCCUCUGACCCCCUCCCUGCCUCCAUCGUCCGGCCUCUGGGAGACCACAGCCUCCUCCCCAAAGCUGCUGUCCUUCCUCAGCGUGGCGGCCAGAGUGAGCCUUGGAAAAGACCCCUCUUGAGGAGACACGAGCGUUCACUGGUUUCCUGCUUUGCUUGGAAUAAAACCCCACCACCCCACCAUGCCAGCCCCCUGCUUCUCCUUGGAAUUCCUUCCCGGGGCCUUUAGGACCUGCCUCCUCACUCACUCAUCUCACUCCUCCAGGAAGCCCUCUCUGACCACUGCCACACCUCUCUGCUCACUCUGGAAGUUCCUAGUGUGCAGUUUUAAGCCCCGCUGGGACCCAGGCUCCUUGAGGGCAAGCCCUCUGAUUUGGUUUGUACUUUUCAAUCCCCCAGCACCUAGAACAAUGCCCAGCACACAGAGCUCAACCGUUGUUUGCCGACGGGCUCCUGAAGUGAUGGAGCAAGUUUAUCAGUGAAGGAUACGUUUGUGAGCACUGGGAACCCUCCCCAGCACAGCCAGACCUGCCCGUGGUCUCUUGACAGUCGUAAAAAAAAUUCUCGAAUGCUGCCCUCCCCAUCAAUCAACCUCAUGAGCUGGUCCUGUUUAACUCCCUUCCCUGCUAGCCUGCCACAGGCUGAGAGACAAACACCUCCCUCGUCCCCAUUUGUCCCCUGCGAUGUCAGACCUGCAGGAGUGGGAAGGGCUCGUGUGCUAACUCAUCUCUGCAGGGAGACGUAAAAUUUGCCCAUAAAUAAAACCUUCUGUCGUUCAGCUCGAACGUUAAAUUUCAUCGGUCUGUAGCAUGUGUUUCAUUAUAGCAGACACCAACGCGUCCUUAAAAUCGGAAUUCUGGAACGCUGCCCUGGCUUGCAGAAUUCCCACAAGGAGACUCCAGCGCGGCCUUGGAGACAGGCUCUGGACCUCACCUUCCAAAGUGGUCCUGGCAGCCACGUUUUGACUUCACGUGGCACUUCGUGCUGAUUGAAUAAGUGGCAUCAGACGCUCUCAUCUGCAUCCAGCUGCUUCCAGUCUGCAGGCUGGAAGCCAGUCCCGCAGCCAAAGCGGCUGGAAUUGGGUCCACAGUGGAAGAAGUAAGACUAGAAGCGGGUGGCUCUCCAAAGUCAGCUGAGAGGAAGGAAGAGGCCGCCAUCGACGCCAGGCUCUCCGGCCGGCGUUACACCUUUGCUACUCAGAGUAUGGGACCAGCUGCCUCAGCGUCAUUUGAGAGCUUGCUGUGCAGAAAUCUCUGGCUUCACCCAGAUUUACAAACUCAGACUCUGCAUCUUAACAAGGCCUGCAGGAUUGGUACUCACACCAUGGGCCGCGGGUUCCCCCUCACGUGAGGAACACAGCUGAUUUGAGUCAGAGGCCCUUCUCGGGUCCUUUCCGGGAAGCAGGGUGUGAGGACCCCGGUGGCAGUCACCAGCUUCUACCGCGACACAAGAGAGCAAGAGAGAGAGAGGAAGGGAAGUGUGUGCCCUUGCAAUGGCCGUCUUCACGGACGGGUUGGCCCUGUCUUCCCAAGGUGAAGUACCAUCCGCACUUUCUCUGCAGACUCCGGAGAACGGUCCCGCGGGCGCCCCUGGACUACAGUGGCAAGAAGGUACUUCUGAGUUUCUGUCUCCCUGGGGCCCAGCAACCUCUCGUGGGUGAUGGUAAUCCUGCCUGCUCCCUCGUGGGCGUGCGUUUAGGACCAUCAGGGUGGGAAGCAGUUUGCCGGCUCAGAGCGCGACACAGCGUAGGAUGCGAUCCUCGCGUCACCUAGGCCAGGUGCCUGAUGCCUCCGCCCUGCGAGGUCACCUCAUGUCGCCCCUCGCUGGGAGGCCCCAUCGGGGUCCCCCCCACCACUGCUGUGUUUUCUGCUCCCUCUACUCCCACACUAACCUGAGGGCCUCAUGGGCCUGCUGUCCUGCCUUGCGAUACAAGUACCCGCAUACGGUUCUGCCCUUUCUAAUAGGACACGGUAUUUCCCAGGCCUUAUGUCCCUCGUGGGCACUGAAUCACAGCCUGGUUCUAAAGGGACCUGAGAGGGCAGGGUUACCUGUGUUUCAGUGUUCAGGGUCACCAGGGCUUAGGCCCAACUCCACGAUUUAUUAGCUAUGUGGUUCUGCGUGAGCCGCUUAACUGUGACUCCAUUUCCCCGUUUGCAAAGCAGGGAUAACAGUAGUCCCUAACUGGCAGGAUCCCUGGGAAUAGUAAAUAAAAACAUGUUAAAUAUUUUGUACCAGCAUCUACAUUAGCUGAUAUACAUUAGCUGUUAUUAAACCGUAUUUCAAAGCCGCUAAGAUA